AUGCCCGUAGUUCAGUUGGUAGAACGGCGGUCUCCAAAACCGCAGACGUGAGUUCGAUUCUCACCGGGUAUGCGA
rnacentral:tRNA from 1 species